UGGGGAAUUUUGGACAAUGGGCGCAAGCCUGAUCCAGCAAUGCCGCGUGCAGGAUGAAGGCCUUCGGGUUGUAAACUGCUUUUGUACGGAGCGAAAAGGCUUCCACUAAUACUGGGGGCUCAUGACGGUACCGUAAGAAUAAGCACCGGCUAACUACGUGCCAGCAGCCGCGGUAAUACGUAGGGUGCAAGCGCUAAUCGGAAUUACUGGGCGUAAAGCGUGCGCAGGCGGUCUUGUAAGACAGGUGUGAAAUCCCCGGGCUUAACCUGGGAACUGCACUUGUGACUGCAAGGCUGGAGUACGGCAGAGGGGGAUGGAAUUCCGCGUGUAGCAGUGAAAUGCGUAGAUAUGCGGAGGAACACCGAUGGCGAAGGCAAUCCCCUGGGCCUGUACUGACGCUCAUGCACGAAAGCGUGGGGAGCAAACAGGAUUAGAUACCCUGGUAGUCCACGCCCUAAACGAUGUCAACUGGUUGUUGGGUCUUCACUGACUCAGUAACGAAGCUAACGCGUGAAGUUGACCGCCUGGGGAGUACGGCCGCAAGGUUG
rnacentral:rRNA from 1 species